GUUUAAAGGGUGCGUAGGCGGUUUGAUAAGUUAGAGGUGAAAUGUUAGGGCUCAACCCUGAAACUGCCUCUAAUACUGUUGGACUAGAGAGUAGUUGCGGUAGGCGGAAUGUAUGGUGUAGCGGUGAAAUGCUUAGAGAUCAUACAGAACACCGAUUGCGAAGGCAGCUUACCAAACUAUAUCUGACGUUGAGGCACGAAAGCGUGGGGAGCAAACAGGAUUAGAUACCCUGGUAGUCCACGCAGUAAACGAUGAUAACUCGUUGUCGGCGAUACACAGUCGGUGACUAAGCGAAAGCGAUAAGUUAUCCACCUGGGGAGUACGUUCGCAAGAAUGAAACUCAAAGGAAUUGACGGGGGCCCGCACAAGCGGAGGAACAUGUGGUUUAAUUCGAUGAUACGCGAGGAACCUUACCCGGGCUUGAAAGUUAGCGACGAUUCUUGAAAGAGGAUUUCCCUUCGGGGCGCGAAACUAGGUGCUGCAUGGUUGUCGUCAGCUCGUGCCGUGAGGUGUCGGGUUAAGUCCCAUAACGAGCGCAACCCCUACUGAUAGUUGCCAUCAGGUUUGAGCGAUCAAACAAGCUGGGCACUCUAUCGGGACUGCCGGUGUAAGCCGAGAGGAAGGUGGGGAUGACGUCAAAUCAGCACGGCCCUUACGUCCGGGGCGACACACGUGUUACAAUGGUAGGUACAGAGGGCAGCUACCCAGCGAUGGGAUGCGAAUCUCGAAAGCCUAUCUCAGUUCGGAUUGGAGGCUGAAACCCGCCUCCAUGAAGUUGGAUUCGCUAGUAAUCGCGCAUCAGCCAUGGCGCGGUGAAUACGUUCCCGGGCCUUGUACACACCGCCCGUCAAGCCAUGGGAGCUGGGGGUGCCUGAAGUACGUGACCGCAAGGAGCGUCCUAGGGCAAAACCGGUGACUGGGGCUAAGUCGUAACAAGGUAGCCGUACCGGAAGGUG
rnacentral:rRNA from 1 species